UACGAAGGGGACUAGCGUUGUUCGGAAUUACUGGGCGUAAAGCGCACGUAGGCGGAUUUGUAAGUCAGGGGUGAAAUCCCGGGGCUCAACCUCGGAACUGCCUUUGAUACUGCAAAUCUCGAGUCCGAUAGAGGUGGGUGGAAUUCCUAGUGUAGAGGUGGAAUUCGUAGAUAUUAGGAAGAACACCGGUGGCGAAGGCGGCCCACUGGAUCGGUACUGACGCUGAGGUGCGAAAGCGUGGGGAGCGAACAGG
rnacentral:rRNA from 1 species